rnacentral:rRNA from 1 species
AGAGUUUGAUCCUGGCUCAGAACGAACGCUGUGGUAAGACAUGCAAGUCGAACGGGAAUUCAUUUGUAGCAAUACCGAUGAAUUCUAGUGGCGAACGGGUGCGUAACACGUGAGCAAUCUGCCGGGAAGUGGGGGAUAACUCGUCGAAAGGCGAAUUAAUACCGCAUAUGGCCAGGGGGGACAUCCUCCCGAAGCGUAGCAAUACGCUUCCUGAUGAGCUCGCGGCCUAUCAGCUAGUUGGUGAGGUGACGGCUCACCAAGGCAAUGACGGGUAGCUGGUCUGAGAGGACGACCAGCCACACUGGAACUGCUCACCAAGGCAAUGACGGGUAGCUGGUCUGAGAGGACGACCAGCCACACUGGAACUGCUCACCAAGGCAAUGACGGGUAGCUGGUCUGAGAGGACGACCAGCCACACUGGAACUGAACACGGUCCAGACACCUACGGGUGGCAGCAGUCGAGAAUUUUUCACAAUGGGGGAAACCCUGAUGGAGCGACGCCGCGUGGAGGAUGAAGGUUUUCGGAUUGUAAACUCCUGUCAAAUGGGAACAAGAAAGUGAUAGUACCAUUAGAGGAAGAGACGGCUAACUCUGUGCCAGCAGCCGCGGUAAUACAGAGGUCUCAAGCGUUGUUCGGAUUCAUUGGGCGUAAAGGGUGCGCAGGCUGUGGGGUAAGUCGGAUGUGAAAUUUAGGGGCUCAACCCCUAAACUGCAUUCGAUACUGCUCCGCUAGAGGACUGUAGAGGAGAUUGGAAUUCACGGUGUAGCAGUGAAAUGCGUAGAUAUCGUGAGGAAGACCAGUGGCGAAAGCGAAUCUCUGGGCAGUUCCUGACGCUCAUGCACGAAAGGCCAGGGGAGCAAACGGGAUUAGAUACCCCGGUAGUCCUGGCAGUAAACGGUGCACGUUUGGUGUGGGAGGAUUCGACCCCUUCCGUGCCGGAGCUAACGCGUUAAACGUGCCGCCUGGGAAGUACGGUCGCAGAUUAAAACUCAAAGGAAUUGACGGGGGCCCGCACAGCGGUGGAGUAUGUGGCUUAAUUCGAUGCAACGCGAGAA